UACAGAGGUGGCAAGCGUUGUUCGGAAUUACUGGGCGUAAAGGGCGCGUAGGCGGCCCGUCAAGUCCCGUGUGAAAGCCCCCGGCUCAACCGGGGAACGGCGCGGGAAACUAGCAGGCUUGAGUUCGGGAGAGGGAAGCGGAAUUCCGGGUGUAGCGGUGAAAUGCGCAGAUAUCCGGAGGAACACCGGUGGCGAAGGCGGCUUCCUGGACCGACACUGACGCUGAGACGCGAAGGCGUGGGGAGCGAACGGG
rnacentral:rRNA from 1 species